AUUGAACGCUGGCGGCAGGCCUAACACAUGCAAGUCGAGCGGAGCGGCGGACGGGUGAGUAAUGCCUAGGAAUCUGCCUGGUAGUGGGGGAUAACGUCCGGAAACGGGCGCUAAUACCGCAUACUAUCAGAUGAGCCUAGGUCGGAUUAGCUAGUUGGUGGGGUAACGGCCUACCAAGGCGACGAUCCGUAACUGGUCUGAGCGGAUGAUCAGUCACACUGGAACUGCGACACGGUCCAGACGCCUACGGGAGGCAGCGGUGGGGAAUAUUGGACAAUGGGCGAAUGCCUGAUCCAGCCAUGCCGCGUGUGUGAAGAAGGUCUUCGGGUUGUAAAGUACUUUCAGUCGGGAGGCGUUGCCGACAGAAGAAGCACCGGCUAACUCCGUGCCAGCAGCCGCGGUAAUAC
rnacentral:rRNA from 1 species